CUGCUGCCUUCCGUAGGAGUUUGGUCCGUGUCUCAGUACCAAUGUGGGGGGUUAACCUCUCAGUCCCCCUAUGUAUCGUUGUCUUGGUGAGCCGUUACCCCACCAACUAACUAAUACAACGCAUGCCCAUCCAUUACCACCGGAGUUUUCAACCCAAGAAGAUGCCUCCCUGGAUGUUAUGGGGUAUUAGUACCGAUUUCUCAGUGUUAUCCCCCUGUAAUGGGUAGGUUGCAUACGCGUUACGCACCCGUGCGCCGGUCGCCGACA
rnacentral:rRNA from 1 species